rnacentral:rRNA from 1 species
GAUUAAGGGCGCGCGGUGGAUGCCUAGGCUCUCGGAGGCGAAGAAGGACGCGAUAAGCCGCGAUAGUCCACGGCGAGGUGCAAGUAACCCUUGACCCGUGGGUUUCCGAAUGGGGCAACCCGGCCGUCUAGAUGACGGUCAUGCAUUAUCAUGCAGGCGAACGCGGGGAACUGAAACAUCUCAUUACCCGCAGGAGAAGAAAACAAAAUGUGAUUCCCCCAGUAGUGGCGAGCGAACGGGGAAGAGCCCAAACCGCUGCCGUUUCGGCGACAGCGGGGUCAUGGGACCGCGAGAUUCGACGGAAGACGAAGUGCAAUUACCUGGAAAGGUAAGCCGUGGAGGGUGACAGCCCCGUGCACGACACCUCUUUCUUAGAUAGCGGUAUCCCGAGUAGGGCGGGACACGAGAAAUCCUGCCUGAAUUCGCCAGGACCUCCUGGCAAGGCUAAAUACUCCCGAGAGACCGAUAGUGAACCAGUACCGCGAGGGAAAGGUGAAAAGUACCCCGAGCAGGGGGGUGAAAUAGACCCUGAACCCGCGCGCCUACAAGCGGUCGGAGCCGAGUAAUUCGGUGACGGCGUGCCUUUUGCAUAAUGAGCCUACGAGUUAGUCGUCACCAGCGAGGUUAAGGGCUUCAGGCCCGUCAGCCGAAGUGAAAGCGAGCCUUAACAGGGCGUGAAGUUGGUGGCGCUAGACGCGAAACCUUGUGAUCUACCCACGAGCAGGUUGAAGUCGCGGUAACGCGUGAUGGAGGACCGAACCGGUAAACGUUGAAAAGUUUUCGGAUGACUCGCGGGUAGGGGUGAAAGGCCAAUCAAACUGGGAAAUAGCUCGUACUCUCCGAAAUGCAUUUCGGUGCAGCCUGUGAUGUUCUGUUCCAGAGGUAGAGCUACUGGUUGGACGCGAGGGCUUCACCGCCUAUCAAAUCCGGAUAAACUCCGAAUGCUGGAACACGAAAUCAUGGAGUGAGCCCGCGGGUGCUAAGGUCCGCGGACGAGAGGGAAAGAACCCGGACCACCGGCUAAGGUCCCGGAUGGACAGUUAAGUUGAUCAAACGAGGUGGGAUCGCGGAGACAGCUAGGAUGUUGGCUUGGAAGCAGCCAUUCAUUUAAAGAGUGCGUAACAGCUCACUAGUCGAGCGAUCCCGCGUGGAUAAUACACGGGCAUAAAACUGUCAACCGAAGCCGUGGGGUUAGCUUGAUGGCUAACCGGUAGGAGAGCAUUCCUGCCAGCUUUGAAGGUCACCCGCGAGAGUGACUGGAGCGGCAUGAAAAGCAAAUGUAGGCAUAAGUAACGAUAAUGGGGGCGAGAACCCCCCACGCCGCAAGACCAAGGCUUCCCCGGCAAUGUCAAUCAGCCGGGGGUCAGCCGGCCUCUAAGGCUAACCCGAAGGGGGACGCCGACGAGAAACGGGUUAACAUUCCCGUGCUUCUCGUCACCGUGACGCGGUGACGGGGUGAUGAAUGGACCGCGCGCAGACGGAAUAGCGCGUUGAAGGCCGUACCCUUUGAGGGUGGUAGUCAAGCACGCCACCGGAGGCGACAGCCGAUAGUACCUCGAGGCCUCGGCCGAGGGGAUAGCGUCCAGGCAAUUAACCCCCUAGAAAACCCGCUAAACUUCAAGUGACGAGGAACCGUACCGUAAACGGACACACGUGGUCGGGUAGAACAUACCAAGGCGCUCGAGUGAUUCAUGGUCAAGGAACUAGGCAAAAUAGUCCUGUAACUUAGGGAUAAAGGACGCUCUAGUGAUAGAGCCGCAGAGAAAUGGCCCAGGCGACUGUUUACCAAAAACACAUGGCUAUGCCAAAUCGAAAGAUGACGUAUAUGGCCUGACACCUGCCCGGUGCCGGAAGGUUAAGAGGAGAGCUCAUCGGAAACGAGAAGGUUUGAAUUGAAGCCCCGGUAAACGGCGGCCGUAACUAUAACGGUCCUAAGGUAGCGAAAUUCCUUGUCGGGUAAGUUCCG